rnacentral:rRNA from 1 species
UACGUAGGUGGCAAGCGUUGUCCGGAUUUAUUGGGUUUAAAGGGUGCGUAGGCGGCUUUGUAAGUCAGGAGUGAAAGUUUGCGGCUCAACCGUAAAAUUGCUUUUGAUACUGCGAGGCUAGAAUUAGGAUGAGGUCAGCGGAAUGUGGCAUGUAGCGGUGAAAUGCAUAGAUAUGCCAUAGAACACCAAUUGCGAAGGCAGCUGGCUAGACCUGGAUUGACGCUGAGGCACGAAAGCGUGGGGAGCGAACAGG